UACGUAGGGUGCGAGCGUUGUCCGGAAUUACUGGGCGUAAAGAGCUCGUAGGUGGUUUGUCGCGUUGUUCGUGAAAUCUCACGGCUUAACUGUGAGCGUGCGGGCGAUACGGGCAGACUAGAGUACUGCAGGGGAGACUGGAAUUCCUGGUGUAGCGGUGGAAUGCGCAGAUAUCAGGAGGAACACCGGUGGCGAAGGCGGCUCUCUGGACCACAACUGACGCUGAGGCGCGAAAGCGUGGGGAGCAAACAGG
rnacentral:rRNA from 1 species